rnacentral:rRNA from 1 species
UACGUAGGUGGCAAGCGUUGUUCGGAAUUAUUGGGCGUAAAGGGCGCGUAGGCGGUUUGUUAAGUCGAAUGUGAAAGCCCCCGGCUCAACUGGGGAGGGUCAUUCGAUACUGAUCGACUUGAAGGCAGGAGAGGGAAGUGGAAUUCCGGGUGUAGUGGUGAAAUGCGUAGAUAUCCGGAGGAACACCAGUGGCGAAGGCGACUUCCUGGCCUGUUCUUGACGCUGAGGCGCGAAAGCUGGGGGAGCAAACGGG